rfam:Asian citrus Psyllid, Diaphorina citri - Florida Strain, whole genome shotgun sequence.
GCCUAGUUAGCUUAGUUGGUAGUGCGUCUGCCUUGUAAGCGCUAGGCCGCGGGUUCGAUUCCCGUCCGGGG